UACGUAGGAGGCGAGCGUUGUUCGGAAUUACUGGGCGUAAAGGGCUCGUAGGCGGCCAACUAAGUCAGACGUGAAAUCCCUCGGCUUAACCGGGGAACUGCGUCUGAUACUGGAUGGCUUGAGUUUGGGAGAGGGAUGCGGAAUUCCAGGUGUAGCGGUGAAAUGCGUAGAUAUCUGGAGGAACACCGGUGGCGAAGGCGGCAUCCUGGACCAACACUGACACUGAGGAGCGAAAGCCAGGGGAGCAAACGGG
rnacentral:rRNA from 1 species